rnacentral:rRNA from 1 species
CCCCCCCCCUGCCCGCCUACGGGAGGCAGCAGUGGGGAAUAUUGGACAAUGGGCGAAAGCCUGAUCCAGCCAUGCCGGGUGUAUGAAGAAGGUCUUCGGAUUGUAAAGCACUUUAAGUUGGGAGGAAGGGCAUUAAGUUAAUACCUUGCUGUUUUGACGUUACCAACAGAAAAAGCCCCGGCUAACUUCGUGCCAGCAGCCGCGGUAAUACGGAGGGUGCAAGCGUUUAUCGGAUUUUCUGGGGGUAAAGCGCGCGUAGGGGGUUUUUCAAGUUGGAUGUGAAAUCCCCGGGCUCAACCUGGGAACUGCAUUCAAAACUGGCAAGCUAGAGUCCGGUAGAGGGGGGUGGAAUUUCCUGUGUAGCGGUGAAAUGCGUAGAUAUUGGGAGGAACACCAGUGGGGAAGGCGGCCUCCUGGACUAAUACUGACACUGAGGUGCGAAAGGGUGGGGAGCAAACAGGAUUAGAUACCCUGGUAGUCCACGCCGUAAACGAUGUCGACUAGCCGUUGGGGUCCUUGAGAUCUCAGUGCCGCAGCUAACGC